UACGUAGGGGGCAAGCGUUGUCCGGAAUUAUUGGGCGUAAAGAGCGCGUAGGCGGUCCGAUAAGUCGGCUGUGAAAGUCAGGGGCUCAACCCUUGAAAGCCGGCCGAUACUGUCGGACUAGAGUCCGGAAGAGGCAAGUGGAAUUCCCGGUGUAGCGGUGAAAUGCGCAGAUAUCGGGAGGAACACCAAUGGCGAAGGCAGGUCUCUGGGCCACUACUGACGCUGAGAAGCGAAAGCAUGGGGAGCGAACAGG
rnacentral:rRNA from 1 species